GAUGAACGCUGGCGGCGUGCCUAAUACAUGCAAGUCGAGCGAAUGGAUUAAGAGCUUGCUCUUAUGAAGUUAGCGGCGGACGGGUGAGUAACACGUGGGUAACCUGCCCAUAAGACUGGGAUAACUCCGGGAAACCGGGGCUAAUACCGGAUAACAUUUUGAACCGCAUGGUUCGAAAUUGAAAGGCGGCUUCGGCUGUCACUUAUGGAUGGACCCGCGUCGCAUUAGCUAGUUGGUGAGGUAACGGCUCACCAAGGCAACGAUGCGUAGCCGACCUGAGAGGGUGAUCGGCCACAAUGGGACUGAGACCCGGCCCAGACUCCUCCGGGAGGCAGCAGUAGGGAAUCUUCCGAAAUGGACGAAAGUCUGACGGAGCAACGCCGCGUGAGUGAUGAAGGCUUUCGGGUCGUAAAACUCUGUUGUUAGGGAAGAACAAGUGCUAGUUGAAUAAGCUGGCACCUUGACGGUACCUAACCAGAAAGCCACGGCUAACUACGUGCCAGCAGCCGCCGUAA
rnacentral:rRNA from 1 species